GACGAACGCUGGCGGCGUGCCUAAUACAUGCAAGUCGAACGAACCGCGACUAGGUGCUUGCACUUGGUCAAGGUGAGUGGCGAACGGGUGAGUAACACGUGGGUAACCUACCUCAUAGUGGGGGAUAACAGUCGGAAACGACUGCUAAUACCGCAUAGGACAUAGGCUCACAUGAUCCAGUGAGGAAGGGUGGCGCAAGCCAUCGCUAAGAGGUGGACCCGCGUUGCAUUAGCUAGUUGGUAGGGUAAAGGCCUACCAAGGCGAUGAUGCAUAGCCGACCUGAGAGGGUGAUCGGCCACAUUGGGACUGAGACACGGCCCAAACUCCUACGGGAGGCAGCAGUAGGGAAUCUUCCGCAAUGGACGCAAGUCUGACGGAGCAACGCCGCGUGAGUGAAGAAGGUCUUCGGAUCGUAAAGCUCUGUUGUUAGAGAAGAACAGCGCAUAGAGUAACUGUUAUGCGUGUGACGGUAUCUAACCAGAAAGCCACGGCUAACUACGUG
rnacentral:rRNA from 1 species